rnacentral:rRNA from 1 species
UAUGGCUCAGGAUGAACGCUGGCGGCAUGCUUUACACAUGCAAGUUGAACGAAUUAAAGUUUUCGAAUUUUAGUUAAGUAGCGAACGGGUGAGUAAAACGUAAGAAUCUAUUUUUAGGUGAGGAAUAACUAAUGGAAACGUUAGCUAAUACCUUAUAAACUGAGAAGUGAAAAACUAAAAAUUGCCUAAAAGUGAGCUUGCGCCUGAUUAGCUUGUUGGUAAGAUAAUCGCUUACCAAAGCGACGAUCAGUAGUUGAUCUAGGAGGAUAAUCAACCACACUGGGACUGAGAUACGGCCCAGACCUCUACGGAGGGCAGCAGUGAGGAAUUUUCCGCAAUGGGCGAAAGCCUGACGGAGCAAUGCCGCGUGAAGGAUGAAGGCCUAUGGGUCGUAAACUUCUUUUCUUAAUGAAGAAAUAAGACGGUAAUUAAGGAAUAAGCAUCGGCUAACUCCGUGCCAGCAGCCGCGGUAAUACGGAGGAUGCAAGCGUUAUCCGGAAUUAUUGGGCAUAAAGGGUUUGUAGGCUACUUUUUAAGUCUACUGUUAAAGAAUAAGACUUAACCUUAGAAAAGCAGUAUGAAACUAAAAGGAUAGAGUUCAGUAGGGGUAGAGGGAAUUCUCGGUGUAGUAGUGAAAUGCGUAGAUAUCGAGAGGAACACCAAUAGCGAAAGCACUCUACUAGGCUGUAACUGACGCUAAGAAACGAAAGCUAGGGGAGCCAAAGGGAUUAGAUACCCCAGUAGUCCUAGCUGUAAACGAUGGAUACUAAGUAUUGGAUAAUAAAAAAUUCAGUGCUGUAGCUAACGCGUUAAGUAUCCCGCCUGGGGAGUAUGCCCGCAAGGGUGAAACUCAAAGGAAUUGACGGGGGCCCGCACAAGCGGUGGAGCACGUGGUUUAAUUCGAUGCAACGCGAAAAACCUUACCAGGAUUUGACAUCCCAUAUUUUUUUUCUAGAAAUAGAAAAAUUGACGUGGAGACAGGUGGUGCAUGGCUGUCGUCAGCUCGUGUCGUGAGAUGUUGGGUUAAGUCCCGUAACGAGCGCAACUCUUGUCUUUAGUUCGAUAGUCUAAAGAAACUGCCGAUAAUAAAUCGGAGGAAGGUGAGGAUGACGUCAAGUCAGCAUGCCCCUUAUAUUCUGGGCGACACACGUGCUACAGUGGUUAAGACAAUGGGAUGCAAACUUGUAAAAGGAAGCUAACCUCAAAAACUUAAUCGAAGUUCGGAUUGUCGACUGAAACUCGUCGACAUGAAGCUGGAAUCGCUAGUAAUCGCCGGUCAGCCACACGGCGGUGAAUACGUUCUCGGGCCUUGUACACACCGCCCGUCACGUUAGGGAAGCUGAUUACGCCCGAAGUCAUUAAUUUAA